GACAGAGGCCUCAAGCGUUUAGGCGGAAUCACUGGGCUUAAAGCGUGUGUAGGCGGGUCGUUAAGUACCUUGUGAAAUCCCACGGCUCACCCGUGGAACUGCUGGGUAUACUGGCGAUCUUGGGCCAUUCAGGGGCAACUGGAACAAGCGGUGGAGCGGUGAAAUGCGUAGAUAUCGCUUGGAACGCCAAAGGUGAAAACAGGUUGCUGGGAAUGUGCCGA
rnacentral:rRNA from 1 species